GAUUAGUGGCGAACGGGUGAGUAACACGUGGGCAAUCUGCCCUUCACUCUGGGACAAGCCCUGGAAACGGGGUCUAAUACCGGAUAAUACUCCUGCCUGCAUGGGUGGGGGUUGAAAGCUCCGGCGGUGAAGGAUGAGCCCGCGGCCUAUCAGCUUGUUGGUGGGGUAAUGGCCUACCAAGGCGACGACGGGUAGCCGGCCUGAGAGGGCGACCGGCCACACUGGGACUGAGACACGGCCCAGACUCCUACGGGAGGCAGCAGUGGGGAAUAUUGCACAAUGGGCGAAAGCCUGAUGCAGCGACGCCGCGUGAGGGAUGACGGCCUUCGGGUUGUAAACCUCUUUCAGCAGGGAAGAAGCGCAAGUGACGGUACCUGCAGAAGAAGCGCCGGCUAACUACGUGCCAGCAGCCGCGGUAAUACGUAGGGCGCAAGCGUUGUCCGGAAUUAUUGGGCGUAAAGAGCUCGUAGGCGGCUUGUCACGUCGGAUGUGAAAGCCCGGGGCUUAACCCCGGGUCUGCAUUCGAUACGGGCUAGCUAGAGUGUGGUAGGGGAGAUCGGAAUUCCUGGUGUAGCGGUGAAAUGCGCAGAUAUCAGGAGGAACACCGGUGGCGAAGGCGGAUCUCUGGGCCAUUACUGACGCUGAGGAGCGAAAGCGUGGGGAGCGAACAGGAUUAGAUACCCUGGUAGUCCACGCCGUAAACGUUGGGAACUAGGUGUUGGCGACAUUCCACGUCGUCGGUGCCGCAGCUAACGCAUUAAGUUC
rnacentral:rRNA from 1 species